GGGCAUUUUUAUGUCAAUAGAUUGGAAUGUUUCUCUCCUCACUGGGAAAAGCUCCUUUGGUCUCAGUGAACUCAGAGGUGGAGAAAGUCAUAAGAAUCAGGGAGCCUGCCCCAAAUUGCCUCCUAUGAUAACUUUCCACAAAGACUGGAGGGGAGGCUUCAAACAUCUUCCUGCAGUGUCCAGCAAGACAGCGAGGCAGACUCCCUUUCUCCUGCCAAAGCCACGUGGAGCCAGACAGAACCACAAGCAUACCUGUGGUGCUUGGAGGCCCAAGUAGAAACUUGAAUGCUCACGGCUGCAUUGGCAGCUUCUACUUGCCUGCCUGGAUCACCGUUCCUCAUGAGAACUUGGAAAAGCAGGACUAUCAUUCUUGCUUGACAGACGAAGAAACCAAGCCUCAGUUUUGUAGGCUCCUACCAGUGAAAGCCUCCUCACAACUCUCUUCUUCUCCCCAAGGACUGCGUGCAAUUCUACUUGGAGAUCUUCAUAACACCUUAAGGGAAAAAUCCUUUUUGAAAGAAAAACAAGUCUGGGUGGUGCUUGAAAAUUCAGAAGGCAGCUAGAAACUCUGCCAAUUACAACUAUUUACAACUUCAGGGAGACAAAGGAAACUCCAGCUCAUCUCCCACAUCAUUGAUUGAGAGGACCAUUUUCUGACUGUCUGCACACUGGUGCUUCGUGAACCCUGGAUGCUACAGUCUCUGGCCACAGCACUAAAUGUAUGCUGAGAUCUGGCUUCACGGUCGAGGGUGUUGCUGGUUUUCAAUGUGCCUGACAUAGGAUCAAUGGUGAAUGCACCAGAAGCCUCAUCAGUCAGAAAAUACUCAGUUUGCCCAUUCAGGCCUUCAUCCUUGUCCACAGCUGAAAGCACAAGAACCACUGUUCCCACUUCAGCAUCUUCUCUCACAGAGGACUGGUAAUAAAGUGUGGGAAAAGAAGGACUGUGGUCAUUGGCAUCCAAAACUCUAACUUGCAGGUGUAUUACAGAGCUCCUAGGUGGAUCUCCCAGGUCAGAGCACAGAAUGACAAGGGUAAAAUUGCUGAUUUGCUCCCGGUCCAAAGCACGAGUGGUUGAGAGUUCUCCUGACAUCUCAUUUAUAGUAAAGCACUCAUCAGUAUUUCCAUCUAUUAAAGAAAACAAUUACAAAUUCAUUUGAAUUGAAAAAGUAGCAGCUCUUUGCUAGCACUAUCUAUGGUAUUCAUUUAUACAUUCAUUAAAAAUAUAUUUAUUCCCGAUUAUAUUGUAUCCUAGCACUUUUGUAAAUAUUGGGGAUAUAACAGUAAGCAUGAUAAAGGCUCUGCCCUCAUGAAACUUCUAUUGAGGGGAUAAACAGAAUAAUAUGAUUCAAUGCCUAUCUUUAAUCAGUCAAUAAUUAGAACACUUGCUUUCACUAAUUUGCAGCCGUAUGAUUUUUUGUGUGCAUCUACAACUUUUAAUUUUAAUAUAUUUUUCCUCAUAAGAGGAUGAAGAUAUAUGUUUUAUUUAACACAAAACAAUAGAUGAGGAUAAAAAAAACAGAAUAUAAUGUCCUUUUUUAAGAUAUCAAUCAGAAAUGAACAGAUUUGAUUUGUAGUUAUUUUCUCAAAUAGUACCCACUACAGUAUUCAUGCCUGUUAUACUAUUGCAGUAAGCCUUCUCUUCUACAUGUCCACAGCAUUUUGUACAAGAAUCAUAACACUUUGGUUAGAGUUAGUUGGACACUUGACUAUUUCUUCCAAAACAUAAAUAAGGACAUUGUUCUAUUCAUCUAUUCCUUAAAAAAAAUCUGCCCUUUAUUAUAUUCCAUCGUAUCAAGUAGAAUAAAACUUAAAAUUGAACACAGGGACAAAAAGCUUUCAAAGACAUUUUUAAAUAACCCUGAAAAUUAGUGAAGAAAAAUGUGGUUCAUAUGCUUGCCAGCCAUAUUCUUGGAUGAAGAGCAGGCCCAAUAGUGUGGGAACUUACUAGAGUCUGCAUAUCAGAGGCAUAUGAGGACCAAGUGGAAUGGCAUUCAAAGGAAACAACAGCAAUAGGUAGCUUUAGGGAGGAGGAGAGGGCCCUGCAUUUGUAUUCAUGAGGAACAGUUAAUUUACACCAAAAGUAGAGAUGAUUGGACAAACCCACAUUUCUGUAGUAUUUGUGGCUGAUAAAGUGAUUCAGUCAUUCAGCAAACAUUUGAUGAGCAUCUACUAUGUGCCAAGUUUGUGCUCAAGAUCACAGAUAUGAAGGGAGUAAGACAUGACCUAGCUCCAAGAGUUCACAGUCUAAAAGGAAAGGCUGGUCAAUACUCGGGUAUUAAAGUACCAUGUGAAAAUCAUAUGUACAGAGUGCUAAAUGAGUACAUAUAGAUAGUGCUAGCCAAGGGGUGCUAUUUCUCUGAGAAGUACAGAGAAAGGGCACAUAGUCCUAUGUUAGUAAGUUCAAGAAAUGCUUAUUGGAAAAAGUGACAUCAAAUCUCACUCCUAAAGUGGAGAAAGCCAUACUACAAGUUUUGGGGAGAGUGUUCUAUGCAGAGGAAAGAGCCCGUGGGAAGUUCUAGGAAUAUAAGAAUUAACAGGCUGCAAAUGUUUGGGUGUGACUAGUACACAGGGUUCCUGGGUGUUUGUAUGUGGCAAGUAGGAAAAGGGCUGGCAGUAGCGGUAGAGGAAAGACAUGAAUUUGGGAGGUAAGCAGGGGGUCAAAUUGUGAAGGGCUCUCUGUAUACUGCUGAAGAUUCUAUAGUUUCUCCUGAAAUCCAUGAGGGAGCCCCCUGAAGGAUUUUGGACAGGAAAGUGUCAUGAAUCAAAUUUCUAUUUUAAGAAUAGUAUCGAGGCAGCAAUGUCAAAGUUUGUUUAGAAAAUAGGAUGGUUCCUGUAAUCCCAGAACUUUUGGAGACCAAGGCGGGAGGAUUGCUUGAGUCCAGGAAUUUGAGUCCAGCCUGGGCAACAUAGUGAGAC
rnacentral:lncRNA from 1 species